rnacentral:lncRNA from 1 species
AAUGCCACAGUAUAACUGUCAUAAAAUAAACAUGCUAUAGAAAUUAAAUUCCUCUUAAAAUGAGGUACAUAAAAUACGCUCUUUAAAACAAUUUUCCUAAAAAUAUCAAAAUAUAAAAUAACUUCUCCUACUACUUCGCCUGAAACAUAGCUCCUAUCUCUGGUCCACAAUGAGAGGCUCCUGUCAUGCAGAAUUCUAGUUUCGCUGAAUUUCUGUAAAGAAACAAACACAUGGUUAGCGGCUCCAGAAUCAAUAACCUAUUUGUCAAUUGAUUCUUCCACUAAGCAAGCUUUAACCAAAAAGAGUUUCAUACCUUUUCCCUUUUCGGCUAGGUAAUCCAAAUACUCUUUACAGUUUGAUAUGAAAUGCCCUUUCCUAUUGCAGAAGAAACAUUUGAUCUUUUUAGGAUCUUUUGACUUCUUAGCCUUCUUCUUAUCUACACGAGGUGGAAUCAAAGACUUAGUCGGUUUCUUUUUUCCCUUAGCCUUUUGCUUCCCCUUAGAGGACGAGGGGACCAUAGCUAAGUUUGCAUCAACUUUUUUUAUGUGAGCUCAGUUACGAUCAUUCAUGAUUUAAUUUACCCGAUCGUUUAAAUAGGUACUCUUUCUUGAAAUAUGGUGAAAAUAUGAAUGAAAAUAAAAACAAACAGUUAAUUUAAGGAUAUAACUUUCGAAUGAUAAAUGGACUAGAAAUGAACCGUCGUUAGAAGAAAAUGCAACCUGAUUUCUAUAAGGGAGUUUAGACUCGAAAAGCUUGAUGGAUAAAGAAGAUAGCCACACUUUGGGAUGGUGAACAAAAUGAUAAGAUGGGUUUGAACGCCACAAGAAUAGAAUUCUUGAUAAGUUCGAAAGUUCUUAAAGAACAAAGAGCUUAACUCAAAUAAGUUUAUAUCAUAAAACAUCUAACCUUACAUCAAUCCAUAAACGAAAUAUAUAUAGGCAACAUAAAUUGUAAACAAAUGGCCACAAACCAACCAUUAAUGUUGUGCACAAACUUCCCAAAAAGAUAUUAAAAUUUUCUCUUCAACUGAACAACCAAAGAUCCUUCAUAAAUUCAUUUUAUGCUUCCUUAGCUAGGAAGAAAGAUUGAUUUAUCUUGAGCAAUUAAAAGGCUUCAUAAUUCCAUGCAUAUGCAUCAAAUUGAAUGCCCCUCCAUGCAGUUUAAUAAAUGAUAGAAUAUUCAUGCAUGGAAAAAAGGAAUGGUUUGUUUCUAGAAGCUUGUUGGUUCAUGCAUGAAUUCCCCAAGCAUUCAUCUUCAAAUGUCCAUUGCUAUGCCCUCAUGCAUCAACCCCUAAGGUGACUGAAUAAACACCUUUUGUAUACAAACCGAACAAUCAUUUUAUAUGUGAAAGGAUUUGAUUCCCUUUGUAAAAACAAACAACCUUUUUGGAGCUUUAAAGUGUCCGGCCAUGAGUCAUUCCUAGGACAAAUUAAAAUCAUAUUUAGGACAUAUUAAACAUGCAUUAAAAAGCAA